GGAGAAUAAGAGCUUGUCAAGAAAAUGCAGUCUCACAAGUAUUUAGAAUUUUUUGUUGAUUCCAGAAAUGCAAAAUAAAAAGUAGGAAUCGCUUUUAAAAGAGACGCAAGCAACUCAUCAAGGAAAACGUAGGUGUAUGGGAACUGCUGAGUCAUGGCCUGAACCAUUGAUUGGGCACCUGGAGGAAAGACUCAGUCAGCCCUGGGAGCACAGGUGAAGGCAAUUCACCUGUGCAAUCAGAAGGCCUCAUUUAAGGGCUGACUGCCCCUGAGGAAGGAUCUCUUCCUUGAGAUCUCUCUUUGGUGGGAGCCUUUUCCUGCAAGCCCAAAAUCUUCCAAUCUAGAAACUGCUGGCUUCUGAGGUAAAUAGAAGGGUCAUGUCCUCUGCACUCAGUGGUGCCCGAAGAGUACAUCUACACAGGAUGAGAUGUAAUUUGCAAGCAGUUCAUGUUUCUUACAUGGCCCUGGUAGCUGCUGAUAGCUUAUCUAAGAAGACUUUGAAUAAAAGGAUGUGAUAUGAUACCAAACAGAAGGGAAGAGAGUAAAGAAAUCUGCAAACAAAGGCAAGAUGUAGCUACUCCUGCCAAGAAUAUAGUAGAGUUUCAGACUAUAUUAGUGAAUACUUAUGAAAGUGGUAAGCCUAAAUCAUCACAAACACAUACCAAAUGACACCUGAACAUAAUUUCUGAAGAUAAAUUGCUUUCCAGGGCUGAAUGAAAUAUUUCUUUACAGAAAUGUACUAAGUGAGCCAGCAUCAAACUGUCCCUCUUUGUAUUUCUAUGUUACUAUCCAGACCUUGGAAAAGGACAUACAUGGACAAAUAUAUUUAUCUGAUGGGCAGGGUCUUGGAAAGACACCCAACUGUUUCUAGCAGACUAUUUAGCCCAUCAAGUGACCAAGCUUGGCAGCACAAGGAGCCAUUAAUACCCAUUUAGUGAUAGAUCUUAGAAAAUGAAUCUUACUGUGUAUCAGAAGGGCUGAAAUACUUGACUGGUUUUAACACUGUUCAACUGAUACUAAUUAGCUCCCCAGGUAUAUGAUUUCCAACCAUACUUGCUUACAGGGGAGUUACACCAGUAACUCCCAAUUUAAUCUAGUCCAGAAGAUGAAGAAGAAAGAGGUAAAUUCUGAGGACAAAUUCAAUGAAGCCACAUACGUUUGAAAAAGAAAAAAUAAUGGAGAGAAACCUAAAACUGACAUUUCAUAAAAAAGAAUGCUCCUAAGCUAUAAAUGAGUUGUAUCAUUGGAUUUUAAUGUCCUGCCUCAGUCAUUUUUUGACAAUACAAGACAGUAUCAAUGUUGAUAUCAGAAUUUUACACAAAUCCACCACUGGCUAAAGUCUUUAAAGCACCAUAUACUAAGGGUGUACAGUGCUUGUUUCUGAGCUGGUGUUAUAGUAUCAGUCAGCACGGAGAUGGUGACACACAGGCGCUACAGUAUCAAUGCUGUACCAGUGCAGACAAGCUAGAGAUUCUCAGCCUGUAACGGAUUGUCAUUAUCAUUGUCAUAGUCUCCUGCGAAGUGCUGAAUCUGGUCCCGGUCAGUAACUUUAACAGCAGAAGACAAAUCGUCUCUGGAUUGCACGCAAGUGAACAUUGUCAGAAAAACUGCCUCUGAGAUUUCAGGGAGAACAUAUGCAGAUGUACACAGACGUAUAUAACAUUAGUUGCUCUUACUGCAUAGUUGAAUGAAAAAGAAGAUAUGCUCCAAUUAUCUUAGCUUUAAUUGUUAAUAUAAAAUAAAUUGUUGUAAAGUUA